CGGCGUCCGGCCGCGCUCACCGCCGCACCCUCUCGGCGUGGGGACUCGGGGCGCCGUGACUCAGGCCGGAGGAGGGGCGCGCAGUCACCCGAGGCGCCCCGAGCUCAGCCGCCAGGUGCCCGGGACCCAGGGGCCGGCCUAGGGUCUCUCCUUAGGCCCCAAACGUCCGCCGCUUCACCAGCUACCCCGCAGCUCCGCUUCGCUUCUUUACGCUUGAAGACGGAAGCCGGCCCCUUAUCUCUGCCAAUUUGUAGGCCGCAGGGGUUCCGAAUAACAUCUGGGCCCUUCACCUCUUGAAUUUAAAUCCCACCUGCCGUGCCCAACCACCAGAUCAAGUGGAAUGUAAGGGAUGAUGAUGGUGACCUUUUCUGACCCUCGACUUCAAUCAGCUAAAGUUUGGACUCUGCCUACUGCCCAAGCCCCUUCAUGAAUAUGCAGAACACAGGCUCCGGACGCGCAGGCUCAACGGCCACGGCUCACGGGCCCAGCCGCUCCGCGGCACGUGGGAUCCUCCCGGACCGGGGCACGAACCCGCGUCCCCUGCAUCGGCAGGCGGACUCUCGACCACUGCGCCACCAGGGAAGUCCCAACACUAACAGUUUCUGAAAGCUCAAUGCCUCAUCCCUAAGAUGACCCCAACCCCCCUUAAGUGCCUGCCUGAGAAAGCAGCAAGGCUGCCCAAAGAAUUUACUGUUUGUUAUAGCCAACACCUGACAUGGGCCCCUGACUGCUGUUUCUUAGGGCAUUUACUAAAAAGGGCUUACAGCUGUGAAUUCUUUCUCUGAACCCUUGAGAUGUGUUUGUAUCUCUUACAACCCAGGAGUGCCUUUCUCAAGGACUUGACGCCAUUCCUUUGAAAUACAAUCAUCAGGAAGGACAGGGCUUCUGUCUCCUGGUCUCCGUGGGAAGAUAACUGCCAGCCAGCAGAUGGAGACAUGGCAUUUACAUCCACUUUUUGUGAUUUUGCACUUCUCAGCCUUAGAGCACAGGGAGAUCAGCUCGGUGCUGUGUGACCACCUAGAGGGGUGGGAUAGGGAGGCUGGGAGGGAGACGCAAGAGGGAGGAGAUAUGGAGAUGUAUGUAUAUGUAUAGCUGAUUCACUUUGUUAUACAGCAGAA